UACGUAGGGGGCAAGCGUUGUCCGGAUUUAUUGGGCGUAAAGAGCGUGUAGGCGGCUUGACAGGUCUGCUGUGAAAACUCGAGGCUCAACCUCGAGAUGUCGGCGGAAACCGUCUGGCUAGAGUCCGGAAGAGGAGAGUGGAAUUCCUGGUGUAGCGGUGAAAUGCGCAGAUAUCAGGAAGAACACCUAUGGCGAAGGCAGCUCUCUGGGACGGUACUGACGCUGAGACGCGAAAAGCGUGGGGAGCGAACAGG
rnacentral:rRNA from 1 species